GCUGUGUUGAGAAGCAUGGUGGACAUAUCAGAAGUGCGAAUGCUGACAUGAGUAACGAUAAGAGGGGUGAAAAACCCCUCCGCCGAAAGAUCAAGGUUUCCUGUCCAACGUUAAUCGGGACAGGGUGAGUCGGCCCCUAAGGCGAGGGCGAAGGCCGUAGUCGAUGGGAAAUCGGUUAAAAUUCCGAUACCGACUCUUACUGCGAUGGGGUGACGGAGAAGGCUAGGCUAGCGCGGCGAUGGUUGUCCGCGUUUAAGCGUGUAGGUAGGGGGAUUAGGUAAAUCCGGUCCCUCGUUAAUCUGAGACGUGAUGACGAUCUCCUGGGGAGACCCUCGAGAGAAGUAGUCGAUGCCAUACUUCCAGGAAAAACCUCUAAGCUUCAGGUAAGAGUUGACCGUACUGUAAACCGACACAGGUGAUCAGGUAGAGAAUACCAAGGCGCUUGAGAGAACUUGGGUGAAGGAACUAGGCAAAAUGGUACCGUA
rnacentral:rRNA from 1 species